UGUGAGAGUGAUGAGUUGCACUAUUCAAGGAGUAGUUGUACAGUGAUAUAGCUACUCCUUCUGAACCCUGAAGACUAAGCAUUGUGCACAGGGGCCAUCUGACUCACA